rnacentral:rRNA from 1 species
CCCUUAGACACUCUAGGCGGCACGCGCGCUACAAUGGGCGGAAGAACGUGUUACUGCCUCCGAAAGGAGGGGUGAAUCACGAAUUCUUGCCCGUGAAUGGGAUAGUUUGUUGCAAUUUUCGGACUUGAACUAGGAAUCCCUUGUAAACAUGCUCAAGAAUAGCGUGUUGAAUACGUCCCUGCCGUUUGUACACACCGCCCGUCGCUCCUACCGAUCGAAGAGUUAGGUGAAUUGUUUUGAUCGAUAAGAUUUGACUAUGGUCAACUCUCGUUGUGAAAUUCUGUGAAUCUGACUGUUUAGAGGAAGGAAAAGUCGUAACA